ACGGAUAUCUUGGCUCUUGCAACGAUGAAGAACGCAGCGAAAUGCGAUACGUAGUGUGAAUUGCAGAAUUCCGCGAAUCAUCGAGUUUUUGAACGCAACUUGCGCCCG
rnacentral:rRNA from 1 species